AACUGUGCUGCUGUGUAGUUUGAAUUGAGAGUAAUGCGUGUGCUUAGUUUCAGGCGGUUCCUCAGUUGAGAUGGGCCUCCUUCAAGCCACCAGCUACACAGCAAAGGGGAAAGGAAGAGAGCAGCCAACGGGCGCUUUCCUGUGAACGCUUACAUUUACCCCUUUUCCUCUGAGACGUUUGCGGAGUAUGCAGCCGUGUCGUGAGCUGAGUAGGGAGGUUUUUUCAAUUGGCAAUGAGAUUAGAGGUAAUGCUUUGAGAUGGGUCUCCUUAAAGCUGCCAGCCAUUCAGCAAAGGUGCAGGCAGAGGAGAAACGGAGGGCUCAGCGAACGGGCACUUUGCUUGGGAACGGUCUCAUGGGAAAUCAGGUAAGUGUGACCUUUGAGGGCAUGUGCGGUGAGGUGGCUGGGGUAAGUAUGCAAGAGUGUUUGUGUCUGGCUUUUUUUUGUGCACUAGUGGUGGUUUCAAGAACUGUGUUGCCAUGUGUUGAGCAGCUUGAAUUGUGUAUAAUAUGUGUGCUCUGUUACAGGAGGUUCUUCAAUUGGUGAUGGUUUUGGAGGCAAGGCUUUGAGCUGGGCCUCCUUCUUAAAGCCACCAGCUAUACAGCAAAGGUGCAGGCAGAGGGGAACUGGAGAGAGCAGCCAACAGAGGGGCACUUUUCUGGGAAUGGUGUCAUGGGAAUUCAGGUAAGUGACCUUUGAGGGCUAUGGAUAUGUAUGUGGUGAGCUGAUGGGGGGGUAAGUAUGCAAGAGUUUGUGCCUGGUGAUUUUCUUUUUUUUGGUGCACUGGUGGUGGUUGCAGGAACUGUGCUGCCAUCUAUUGAGCAGCUUGACUUCUGUGUGUAAUGAGUGUGCUCUGUUACAGGAGGUUCUUCAAUCGGUGAUGGGAUUAGAGCCAAGGCUUUGAGCUGGGCCUCCUUCUUAAAGCCACCAGCUAUACAGCAAAGGCACAGGCAGAAAGGAAAGGAAGAGAGCAGCCCACAGGGGCACUUGCCUGGGAACGGUCUCAUGGGAAAUCGGGUAAGUGUGACCUUUGAGGGUGUGUGUGUGGUGAGCUGGCUCGGAUAAGUAUGCAAAAGUCUUUGUGUCUGGCGACUUUUUUUUUGUGCACUGGUGGUGGUUGCAGGAACUGCUGCUGUGUAGUUUGAAUUGAGAGUAAUGCGUGUGUUUAGUUUCAGGCAGUUCCUCAGUUGAGAUGGGCCUCCUUCUUCAAGCCACCAGCUACACAGCAAAGGCACAGGCAGAGCGGAAAGGAAGAGAGCAGCCAACGGGCGCUUUCCUGUGAACGCUUACACUUACCCCUUUUCCCCUGAGACUUUUGUGGGGUAUGCAGGCAUGUCGUGAGCUGAGUAGGGUAAGUAUGCAAGAGUCUUUGUGUCUGGUAGUUUUCCUGCACUGCUGGCGGUUUUCCUGCACUGGUGGCAGUUGAAGAGGGACUCUUUGCCAUAUGUUCAGCAGUUUGAAUUGUGUGUAAUGCGAGUGCUUUGUUACAGGAGGUUUUUCAAUUGGCAAUGGGACUAGAGGUAAUGCUUUGAGCUGGGUCUCCUCCUUAAAGCUACCAGCUAUAUAGCAGAGGGGAAAAGAAUUGAGCAGCCCACAGGGACAUUUGCCUGGGAACGGUCUCAUGGGAAAUCAGGUAAGUGUGACCUUUGAGGGCGUGUGUGGUGAGCUGGCUGGGGUAAGUAUGCAAGUGUUUGUGUCUGGCGAUUUUUAUUUUCUUUUUGUGCACUAGUGGUGGUUGCAGGAACUGUUGCCAUGUGUUGAGCAUCUUGAAUUGUGUGUAAUGUGUGUGCUCGGUUACAGAAGGUUCUUCAAUUGGCAUUGGGAUUAGAGGCAAGGCUUUGAGCUGGGCCUCCUUCUUAAAGCCACCAGCUAUACAGCAAAGGCACAGGAAGAAAGGAAAGGAAGAGAGCAGCCCACAGGGACACUUGCCUGGGAA